AUAAGUGGUCUUGCUAUGCAAGAACACUUAAUAAUAUAUAAGUGAGAUUUAUUAUUAAGUGUUCUUGCAUAGCAAGACCACUUAAUAAUAAUA